ACUCAUCAUACAAAAGGGACACGAGUGAGUUUGGACUGAAAAAAAGAUGACAAAAAGGAAAAAGAACCCAGCCAAUAAUGCAGCAAAAUUCUAUUCUUUGACGGUCUUAUCCACUGGAAUAGUCAGAGGUAAGUAAAUACACAGUUUUCUUCAUAUUAGUGAGGAGAUCAUCCUUCUCUUUAGUCAAACUCAGAGUCUUAGUUUUCUUUUUUGCACCAAGUUUAUUUGUUUUUCAUUUUCCACUUGGUAAAAUAUAACUUCUGCUGAGGCUGGUUACUUAAAUGUUCUAUCUUGAGUUUAAUUGUAAUCACGUGGCAUUUUAAAUCUGAAAAUUCACAAAAAACUUUUAUUUAAAUCAUUUAAAAAGAUCCCUUUCCAACUAUUGAAAUUUAAUUAUUAUAAGAACAGUACCACUAUGUUAAAAUAUAAUCACCUUACUCCUUUUGGCUUCAUGACAGUGUUCAUAAAGUGCUUAAUAUUCAUGUAACAUGCUACCUCACCCUGUAAUAUCACUAUAUUUAUGGAAAGAAAGUGUAAUCCUCUUUACUGGCUCAGGUUAAUUCCAAUAAAAUGUUACAUCCAUUUUCUAAUCUAAAUGAGUUCAUUAGGAGAGGCAUGGUACUGAGAAUACCAAACUCUCUACAGAGUUCAGCUUCAUUACAUUUCCGCACUGUGCGUUUCCAGAGCUGUUGUACUACAUUUAUGAGGAUUUAUCUGUACUGUUCCAAAAACAUUCAUCCUAAUUCUACUCCUUCUGUGCAUGCUAAUCAUGAAUAUGUUAAGUGGAAAUACUAAGCUUGUAGCCAAUCUCAUCCCCAGAUGGGUUCAAGUUAUGAUUACAGAAGCAAAUUUGCCAUAAGCACUCUUAGAGCAGUGCCAGGGAGGAGGAAAUGAAGGUCUGGAGCAGCACUCAGGAGAAAAAAAAAAGAAAGUAAAAAGACAGUUUGAGACAGAGUAGGAGUGUCAUAGAUGUUAGAGACAUAGAAUAAAAAAAGGUAUUUCCAGAUUGCUGUGUCUCAGAAAGACUUCCAAUAAAUUAUAAAUAGACCUGUUCUGAAGAAAUUUGAAAUAGAUGCAA
rnacentral:lncRNA from 1 species